rnacentral:rRNA from 1 species
UUGGCCUCGGAUCAGGUGGGGAUACCCGCUGAACUUAAGCAUAUCAAUAAGCGGAGGA